rnacentral:rRNA from 1 species
AUACGAAGGGUGCAAGCGUUACUCGGAAUUACUGGGCGUAAAGCGUGCGUAGGUGGUUGUUUAAGUCUGUCGUGAAAGCCCUGGGCUCAACCUGGGAAUGGCGAUGGAAACUGGGCGACUAGAGUGUGGCAGAGGGUAGUGGAAUUCCUGGUGUAGCAGUGAAAUGCGUAGAGAUCAGGAGGAACAUCCGUGGCGAAGGCGACUGCCUGGGCCAACACUGACACUGAGGCACGAAAGCGUGGGGAGCAAACAGGAUUAGAUACCCUGGUAGUCCACGCCCUAAACGAUGCGAACUGGAUGUUGGGUGCGAUUUGGCACGCAGUAUCGAAGCUAACGCGUUAAGUUCGCCGCCUGGGGAGUACGGUCGCAAGACUGAAACUCAAAGGAAUUGACGGGG